rnacentral:rRNA from 1 species
AUUGAACGCUGGCGGCAUGCUUUACACAUGCAAGUCGAACGGCAGCGCGGGCUUCGGCCUGGCGGCGAGUGGCGAACGGGUGAGUAAUGCAUCGGAACGUGCCCAGUAGUGGGGGAUAGCCCGGCGAAAGCCGGAUUAAUACCGCAUACGACCUGAGGGUGAAAGCGGGGGACCGAAAGGCCUCGCGCUAUUGGAGCGGCCGAUGUCGGAUUAGCUAGUUGGUGGGGUAAAGGCUUACCAAGGCGACGAUCCGUAGCUGGUCUGAGAGGACGACCAGCCACAGGGGGAGGGAGACAGGGCCCAGACUCCGGCGGGAGGCGGCAGGGGGGAAUGUUGGACAAGGGGGGCAACCCUGACCCGGCCGUGCCGCGGGAGGGAAGAAGGCGUGCGGGUUGUAAAGCGGUUUUGUUGGGGAAGAAACCCUCUGGGCUAAACCCCCGGGGGGAGGACGGUACCGAAAAAAAAAGCCCCGGCUAACUCCGUG